GACGUAGGGCGCGAGCGUUGUCCGGAUUUAUUGGGCGUAAAGAGCUCGUAGGUGGCCUGUCGCGUCGGCUGUGAAAACUCGAGGCUCAACCUCGAGACGCCGGUGGAAACCGUAAAGCUAGAGUCCGGAAGAGGAGAGUGGAAUUCCUGGUGUAGCGGUGAAAUGCGCAGAUAUCAGGAGGAACACCCGUGGCGAAAGCGGCUCUCUGGGACGGUACUGACGCUGAGACGCGAAAGCGUGGGGAGCAAACAGG
rnacentral:rRNA from 1 species